rnacentral:rRNA from 1 species
GACGAACGCUGGCGGCGUGCUUAACACAUGCAAGUCGAACGAUGAAGCGGUGCUUGCACCGUGGAUUAGUGGCGAACGGGUGAGUAAUACGUGAGUGACCUACCUUUGACUCUGGGAUAAGCCUGGGAAACUGGGUCUAAUACCGGAUACGACCAAUCUCUGCAUGGGGUGUUGGUGGAAAGCGUUAUGGAGUGGUUUUAGAUGGGCUCACGGCCUAUCAGCUUGUUGGUGAGGUAAUGGCUUACCAAGGCGACGACGGGUAGCCGGCCUGAGAGGGUGACCGGCCACACUGGGACUGGGACACGGCCCAGACUCCUACGGGAGGCAGCAGUGGGGAAUAUUGCACAAUGGGCGCAAGCCUGAUGCAGCGACGCCGCGUGAGGGAUGACGGCCUUCGGGUUGUAAACCUCUGUUAGCAUCGAAGAAGCGAAAGUGACGGUAGGUGCAGAGAAAGCGCCGGCUAACUACGUG